ACAGUCAUGUGGCUGUUCCUCCCUCCUAGUUGAAAUAGUUUGCGUGUGUGUGUGUGUGUGUGUGUGUGUGUGUGUGUUACUCACACACACACACACACACCCUCUUCCAUAUACA
rnacentral:miRNA from 1 species